GGGGUAUGGCUGUUCGCCAUUUAAAGUGGUACGCGAGCUGGGUUUAGAACGUCGUGAGACAGUUCGGUCCCUAUCUGCCGUGGGCGCUGGAGAACUGAGGGGGGCUGCUCCUAGUACGAGAGGACCGGAGUGGACGCAUCACUGGUGUUCGGGUUGUCAUGCCAAUGGCACUGCCCGGUAGCUAAAUGCGGAAGAGAUAAGUGCUGAAAGCAUCUAAGCACGAAACUUGCCCCGAGAUGAGUUCUCCCUGACUCCUUGAGAGUCCUGAAGGAACGUUGAAGACGACGACGUUGAUAGGCCGGGUGUGUAAGCGCAGCGAUGCGUUGAGCUAACCGGUACUAAUGAACCGUGAGGCUUAACCUU
rnacentral:rRNA from 1 species